rnacentral:rRNA from 1 species
AACGAACGCUGGCGGCGUGCCUAAUACAUGCAAGUCGAGCGGAAGUUGAAGAGCUUGCUCUUCAACUUUAGCGGCGGACGGGUGAGUAACACGUGGGCAACCUGCCCUGCAGAUCGGGAUAACUCCGGGAAACCGGUGCCAAUACCGAAUAGUUUUCGCCACCUCCUGGUGGCGUACGGAAAGACGGUUUCGGCUGUCACUGCAGGAUGGGCCCGCGGCGCAUUAGCUAGUUGGUGGGGUAACGGCCCACCAAGGCGACGAUGCGUAGCCGACCUGAGAGGGUGAUCGGCCACACUGGGACUGAGACACGGCCCAGACUCCUACGGGAGGCAGCAGUCGGGAAUCUUCCGCAAUGGACGAAAGUCUGACGGAGCAACGCCGCGUGAGUGACGAAGGUUUUCGGAUCGUAAAACUCUGUUGUGAGGGAAGAACAAGUACCAACUAACUACUGGUACCUUGACGGUACCUCACCAGAAAGCCACGGCUAACUACGUGCCAGCCGCCGCCGUAAUAC